GACGAACGCUGGCGGCGUGCUUAACACAUGCAAGUCGAACGAUGAAGCUAGAGCUUGCUCUGGUGAAUUAGUGGCGAACGGGUGAGUAACGCGUGAGUAACCUGCCCCGAACUCUGGGAUAACUGCUGGAAACGGUAGCUAAUACUGGAUACGACCUACGAAGGCAUCUACUGUAGGUGGAAAGAAUUUCGGUUCGGGAUGGACUCGCGGCCUAUCAGCUUGUUGGUGAGGUAAUGGCUCACCAAGGCGACGACGGGUAGCCGGCCUGAGAGGGUGACCGGCCACACUGGGACUGAGACACGGCCCAGACUCCUACGGGAGGCAGCAGUGGGGAAUAUUGCACAAUGGGCGCAAGCCUGAUGCAGCAACGCCGCGUGAGGGAUGACGGCCUUCGGGUUGUAAACCUCUUUUAGUAGGGAAGAAGCGAAAGUGACGGUACCUGCAGAAAAAGCACCGGCUAACUACGUGCCAGCCGCCGCAGUAA
rnacentral:rRNA from 1 species